GGUUAAGUGACUAAGCGUACACGGUGGAUGCCUAGGCAGUCAGAGGCGAUGAAGGACGUGCUAAUCUGCGAUAAGCGUCGGUGAGCUGAUAUGAAGCAUUAUUAGCCGGCGAUGUCCGAAUGGGGAAACCCAGUGCAAUCCGUUGCACUAUCGUUAAGUGAAUCCAUAGCUUAACGAGGCGAACCAGGGGAACUGAAACAUCUAAGUACCCUGAGGAAAAGAAAUCAACCGAGAUUCCCCCAGUAGCGGCGAGCGAACGGGGAAGAGCCCAGAACCUGAAUCAGUUUGUGCAUUAGUGGAAGCGUCUGGAAAGUCGCGCGAUACAGGGUGAUAGCCCCGUACACGAAGGUGCACAGCUGUGAGUUCGAUGAGUAGGGCGGGACACGUGUUAUCCUGUCUGAAUAUGGGGGGACCAUCCUCCAAGGCUAAAUACUCCUGACUGACCGAUAGUGAACCAGUACCGUGAGGGAAAGGCGAAAAGAACCCCGGCGAGGGGAGUGAAAUAGAACCUGAAACCGUGUACGUACAAGCAGUGGGAGCAUCCUUUUGGGUGUGACUGCGUACCUUUUGUAUAAUGGGUCAGCGACUUAUAUUUUGUAGCAAGGUUAACCGAAUAGGGGAGCCGUAGGGAAACCGAGUCUUAACUGGGCGUCUAGUUGCAAGGUAUAGACCCGAAACCCGGUGAUCUAGCCAUGGGCAGGUUGAAGGUUGGGUAACACUAACUGGAGGACCGAACCGACUAAUGUUGAAAAAUUAGCGGAUGACUUGUGGCUGGGGGUGAAAGGCCAAUCAAACCGGGAGAUAGCUGGUUCUCCCCGAAAGCUAUUUAGGUAGCGCCUCGUGAACUCAUCUUCGGGGGUAGAGCACUGUUUCGGCUAGGGGGUCAUCCCGACUUACCAACCCGAUGCAAACUACGAAUACCGAAGAAUGUUAUCACGGGAGACACACGGCGGGUGCUAACGUCCGUCGUGAAGAGGGAAACAACCCAGACCGCCAGCUAAGGUCCCAAAGUCAUGGUUAAGUGGGAAACGAUGUGGGAAGGCACAGACAGCCAGGAUGUUGGCUUAGAAGCAGCCAUCAUUUAAAGAAAGCGUAAUAGCUCACUGGUCGAGUCGGCCUGCGCGGAAGAUGUAACGGGGCUAAACCAUGCACCGAAGCUGCGGCAGCGACGCUUAGGCGUUGUUGGGUAGGGGAGCGUUCUGUAAGCCGUUGAAGGUGGCCUGUGAGGGCUGCUGGAGGUAUCAGAAGUGCGAAUGCUGACAUAAGUAACGAUAAAGCGGGUGAAAAGCCCGCUCGCCGGAAGACCAAGGGUUCCUGUCCAACGUUAAUCGGGGCAGGGUAAGUCGACCCCUAAGGCGAGGCCGAAAGGCGUAGUCGAUGGGAAACAGGUUAAUAUUCCUGUACUUGGUGUUAUUGCGAAGGGGGGACGGAGAAGGCUAGACCGGCCGGGCGACGGUUGUCCCGGUUUAAGCGUGUAGGUGUGAUGACCUGGCAAAUCCGGUUAUCUUUAACACUGAGGCGUGAUGACGAGGCACUACGGUGCUGAAGUGGUUAAUGCCCUGCUUCCAGGAAAAGCCUCUAAGCUCCAGAUAACACUGAAUCGUACCCCAAACCGACACAGGUGGUCAGGUAGAGAAUACCAAGGCGCUUGAGAGAACUCGGGUGAAGGAACUAGGCAAAAUGGUGCCGUAACUUCGGGAGAAGGCACGCUGGCAUGUAGGUGAAGUCCCUCGCGGAUGGAGCCGAAGCCAGUCGAAGAUACCAGCUGGCUGCAACUGUUUAAUAAAAACACAGCACUCUGCAAACACGAAAGUGGACGUAUAGGGUGUGACGCCUGCCCGGUGCUGGAAGGUUAAUUGAUGGGGUCAGCCGCAAGGCGAAGCUCUUGAUCGAAGCCCCAGUAAACGGCGGCCGUAACUAUAACGGUCCUAAGGUAGCGAAAUUCCUUGUCGGGUAAGUUCCGACCUGCACGAAUGGCGUAAUGAUGGCCAGGCUGUCUCCACCCAAGACUCAGUGAAAUUGAACUCGCUGUGAAGAUGCAGUGUACCCGCGGCAAGACGGAAAGACCCCGUGAACCUUUACUAUAGCUUGACACUGAACAUUGAACCUUGAUGUGUAGGAUAGGUGGGAGGCUUUGAAGUGUGGACGCCAGUCUGCAUGGAGCCGACCUUGAAAUACCACCCUUUAAUGUUUGAUGUUCUAACCUGGUCCCGUGAUCCGGGAUAGGGACAGUGUCUGGUGGGUAGUUUGACUGGGGCGGUCUCCUCCCAAAGAGUAACGGAGGAGCACGAAGGUUAGCUAAUCCUGGUCGGACAUCAGGAGGUUAGUGCAAAGGCAUAAGCUAGCUUGACUGCGAGAGUGACGGCUCGAGCAGGUGCGAAAGCAGGUCUUAGUGAUCCGGUGGUUCUGAAUGGAAGGGCCAUCGCUCAACGGAUAAAAGGUACUCCGGGGAUAACAGGCUGAUACCGCCCAAGAGUUCAUAUCGACGGCGGUGUUUGGCACCUCGAUGUCGGCUCAUCACAUCCUGGGGCUGAAGUAGGUCCCAAGGGUAUGGCUGUUCGCCAUUUAAAGUGGUACGCGAGCUGGGUUUAGAACGUCGUGAGACAGUUCGGUCCCUAUCUGCCGUGGGCGUUGGAAGAUUGAGAGGGGCUGCUCCUAGUACGAGAGGACCGGAGUGGACGCACCGCUGGUGUUCGGGUUGUGAUGCCAAUUGCAUUGCCCGGUAGCUACGUGCGGAAAAAGAUAAGCGCUGAAAGCAUCUAAGCGCGAAACUUGCCUCGAGAUGAGUCUUCCCUUGGACCUUGAGUCCACUGAAGGAACGUUUAAGACUAAGACGUUGAUAGGCUGGGUGUGUAAGCGUAGCGAUACGUUGAGCUAACCAGUACUAAUGAUCCGAGAGGCUUAACCUU
rnacentral:rRNA from 1 species